rnacentral:tRNA from 1 species
UAUAGUCUAAUUUUUAUAAAAUUUUUAAAACUUUAAUUUAAUUAAAUUAGUUAAUGAGCUUGAAUAAGCAUAU